rfam:Pseudomonas putida KT2440 complete genome.
GGCCCAUCUCUUGCUGAACAAAUCUCACCGGUAGCCAACGGCGGUUACCCCACUUGAAUCCCGACAAAGACGUCGC